ensembl:lncRNA
CAUAGAGUGUGCAAACUAACAAGAUUACAACAUUACUAGGUGAUAUCAUCACAUGGGACCAUGACAAAUACACAGCCAUUGUCUGAAGUUGACGGCUGCAUGGUACAGAACAAGAGUACAGUCUAAGUAGCCAAAAUCCAUAUUUGGUGAGCAAGGCAUUUCUCAAAUCUGGAAACAGAAGUCCCUCAAAACUAGAUCCUGUUCCAGGAUGAGAGACCCACUGGAGCAGUGUUGGGUGUAGUCACUACUGAACAAUGAAUGUCCUUAGGCUGUUGCUUUAGGCCAAGAGUCAUUGGAAGAUCCCAAGACAGAGAAAAGGGUAAUCCCCUGUGAUCUUUGUACAGCUGACAAACUUGGAAUCAACCUUCUUGAGACUGAGUGUAAAACAGGUGGCUACUUCAGUAUUUUCAAGACUAUAUCUGCUUUUCAGCUCAAGUGCCUGUUUGUUAUCUCUGGCUUUUGAAGGGCUCUUGAGAAAGUCAUCCCUGUCUGUGUCAGAUGGUCUGUAAUGUGCCUCCUCUGGGCUUGUGAAAGCAUGGAGACUGUAUGAUGCAAGAGCAAGACUCCCCAGUCCCUUUCCCAAUCUCAGGUUCACUCAAGUGUUCUCAGUUCACUUUUCCUUUCUGUUUCCUUCUCAGCCUCCUGGUAAAAAUAGGAAGCACAGACAGACAGGUGACACAGCGGGAGCCGUACCCGAGGCUUCCACACGUUUUUAUUGACAGUUCAUUGUGUGUUGAGACGCUAGCUUGGGGUUCUUACCAUGGCUUGCAAUGACCUGGGUAGAACUGCAGCAAAUCAGGAGCCCACCCAGAGAAAGCUGACGUCUUUGUCCUGGCCAUGGCCAUGGCCUUAGGCUUCAGGAAGGUAACCAGGUGAAUCUCACACACAACCACUUUAAAGACCUCUGCCCUAGACAUGACGAAGUGAACAGUUAGACAUGGGGGCAGAGGUGGGAAAGGGUAAGAUAGGUUGAAUCCCAGCCGAGCUUUAUACUAGCUGUCGAAGCAGGAAGCGUUAGAGGCAGUUUGAAAUAGGACAGCCUGUUCUGUCAGGUCCCAGAAUAUGUAUUUAUUAAGUGCCAUUAAAGGGGACCCGAACAAAAUUGGAUGUUCUUGUAGUCAUAAGAGAGAAAAAUGAAAUAUACUUAGAACCAAGGCUAUCUCAUGAAGGGGAAAUAAAAAUGCACUCAGUACAUGUGGGUUAUGGUUUCUCGGACCAGGGGUGAGAUUAAAAGUCACUGGAGAGUGAGAGAAGGCAUACUGAGAAGAUGGAGCGUAGCCUGGAUUUUCUCCAGGGGACUCUGUGUAAUGUGCCUUUUUACCCCCAAUGCCUAGAGCCAUCGCACUGUGUCUUAUUUAUUUCACUCUUGGGCUGUCACGUGCAUACUCACCAAGAUAGUUGCCUAAGAAUGGAACAAAACUCCCAGGAGUUGAAGGAUAGUUCACAUGGUAUCCUUGCUCCUCAAAGUGAAGUCUGAACUCAUUAACCCUUUGAGAUCCAACUUAGUUUAGGAUACAAGGACAUUGCACUACAUAAGGGGAGAUGAGUGGAUUCUUGAUUAACAUGAUGCAUGACAUGACAUGAAUGUUCCUGGCAAUAAAGGACUUUCUAUGACUCCUGCCAUUGGCUAGUAUACCAUUCAUUCACUGGUCUUGCUCGAUAUGAAAAUGGCACCUUGUUCAUUCAUGCGUUUAUUUGAGUGUCGACACCUUUGGUGCCUCUAAGAUUUGGGCAUAGAUGCUGGGUAUAUAACAGAUGAGCUGUGUCGUUUCUGAACCCACAGUCUUGGCAGGGAAGUAGACAAGUCAGCCCUCGGUUCCGAGUAUAAGUAUCAGGAGAGGGCAGAAGCUGGAGCCCAAGCGAGGUG